rnacentral:rRNA from 1 species
AACGAACGCUGGCGGCAGGCUUAACACAUGCAAGUCGAACGCACCCUUCGGGGUGAGUGGCAGACGGGUGAGUAACACGUGGGAACGUGCCCUUCAGUUCGGAAUAACCCAGGGAAACUUGGGCUAAUACCGGAUACGCCCGAAAGGGGAAAGAUUGAUCGCUGAAGGAUCGGCCCGCGUCUGAUUAGCUAGUUGGUGAGGUAAAGGCUCACCAAGGCGACGAUCAGUAGCUGGUCUGAGAGGAUGAUCAGCCACACUGGGACUGAGACACGGCCCAGACUCCUACGGGAGGCAGCAGUGGGGAAUAUUGGACAAUGGGCGCAAGCCUGAUCCAGCCAUGCCGCGUGAGUGAUGAAGGCCUUAGGGUUGUAAAGCUCUUUCGUCCGGGACGAUAAUGACGGUACCGGAAGAAGAAGCCCCGGCUAACUUCGUGCCAGCCGCCGCCGUAAUAC